CUACGUGCCAGCAGCCGCGGUAAUACGUAUGUCACAAGCGUUAUCCGGAUUUAUUGGGCGUAAAGCGCGUCUAGGCGGCUAUGUAAGUCUGAUGUGAAAAUGCGGGGCUCAACUCCGUAUUGCGUUGGAAACUGUGUAGCUAGAGUAUCGGAGAGGUAAGCGGAACUACAAGUGUAGAGGUGAAAUUCGUAGAUAUUUGUAGGAAUGCCGAUGGGGAAGCCAGCUUACUGGACGAAUACUGACGCUAAAGCGCGAAAGCGUGGGUAGCAAACAGGAUUAGAUACCCUGGUAGUCCACGCCGUAAACGAUGAUUACUAGGUGUUGGGGGUCGAACCUCAGCGCCCAAGCUAACGCGAUAAGUAAUCCGCCUGGGGAGUACGUACGCAAGUAUGAAACUCAAAGGAAUUGACGGGGACCCGCACAAGCGGUGGAGCAUGUGGUUUAAUUUGACGCAACGCGAGGAACCUUACCAGCGUUUGACAUC
rnacentral:rRNA from 1 species